rnacentral:sRNA from 1 species
GUMAUAUUUGGCUAUAAAUCCGCUAAUAAAGMMWCUUCUUGAUUCUCAAAGCUUUGAUGGUGAAGUCAAAGAUCUUAUGAGUUUUUAGUCUUGAAUCGUAUAACAAGGAAGCACUACUUUACUUUUCGGAAUCUCGUUGAGGUUAUAGUUUUAUAUAUUCAAUCAUACACAUGACAUCUAGUCAUAUUUCACUCCGAAACGCUAACCAAGAUUCUUCUUGCUU